CGUGUCCUUCAAAAAAAAAAAAAAAAAUAUAUAUAUAUAUCAAUUAAUCCAGCACAUGCUCAAGGGGAGGGGAUUACACAAGGGCAUGAAUACCACCAGGUGGAAGAAUCUAUCAAGAUAUGUAGCUGCUCAAAAACCCUAUUGGACAAUGAUAACUACAGAUUUGAUGAACGAUAUUUAGAGCAGCAGUAAACAUUUUAGUCCAUGUAUCCUGGUGCCAGAGGGGAUUUUUCCAGGAUUGAAAUUGGUGGUCACAGCUAUGCAUAUCUUCACUUGUACUUCAUAAUACUGUUUUUCGAAGUCAUCAUGCCAAUUUACAUUCUUAUUACUACUGAAUGAGAAUUUCUGAGCUCUACGUUACUGCUAGCACUUGAUAUAAGAUGAAAGCAAUGAGAAUUGCAAGGAAAACUUGAAUGUAAUUUAUGGAAGAUUUGAACAUUGUUUUACAGUGACAGAGUUAAUAGGCAGAAAUUAGUGGGCUAUAUAAGAAUUGAAUAAUAUAAUCAAUAAGCUGAGUUUUUUCAUAAUGUACAUGUACUUAUACAUCUUUUGACUGAAGAAUAUAUGAUUCCCUUGUAUGAUUUAGGACAUUUAUAAAAAAUUGGUCAUGUACUUGUUCACAAAAGAAACAUUAAAGUCAGGAAAGUAGACAUUUUAUGGGCAAUAUUCUCUGAUCUAAAAGCCAAUCAAGUAGAAACAAUAAUAGAGUAUCAAAUCUUAAUGACUUGGAAAUUAUGAAACAUAAUUAAGAUUGUUCUUGGAGCAGAGGAAAUCACAGGAAGUAUUAUAAAGAACUCUUUAAAAAAAUUUAUGGGAUAAAGUAAAAGAUUUAUUUAAAGUACUUUCAUUAUUGAAGAAGAAAGACUAAAAUAAGUAAAUUUU